UAUUUUUGAGUGUGAGAUGUAAGUUUUUCAAAUUGUGAUUAAGUGCUAAAACACUUACCUAUCAAACAAGGAAGGGUAGUAAGUUCCAUAAGAAUUUACCUUUUGGAACAUAAAAUGAGUAAAUCUUUCAAGGUUUAUUCCACAACUUUAGCUUUUCAUUUACAAGCUCCACUUUUUUCCAAUUCUUACUGUAACACCCCUAACCCGUAUACGUCGAUAAAUUAGGGUUACGAAGCGUUACCGGAUAAAACGCAACUUAACACAGACAUUCAGUAGAAUUCAAGAAUUUUACAUCUAUGUUAAA
rnacentral:lncRNA from 1 species